rnacentral:misc_RNA from 1 species
GUGAAUCAUCAAAUCUUUGAACGCAAAUUGCACUCUUUUCGGAGAGUAUGCCUGUUUGAGGGUCAGCCUAAAAAAAAACUACACCGUUUCUUUUUCGCGGUGCUGUUCGUCGGAAAUUGGGUUAUCUUAAAUCUUUGUUUUACGCGAUUUAAAAUGUUCUUGUCGAUUCCAUGAACAUUUCCAAAAUUUAUUUCCUUAGACUUUCAAGGUACAGAUUUUA